AGUGAACGCUGGCGGUAGGCCUAACACAUGCAAGUCGAACGGCAGCACAGUAAGAGCUUGCUCUUACGGGUGGCGAGUGGCGGACGGGUGAGGAAUACAUCGGAAUCUACUUUUUCGUGGGGGAUGACGUAGGGAAACUUACGCUAAUACCGCAUACGACCUACGGUUGAAAGCAGGGGAUCUUCGGACCUUGCGCGAUUGAAUGAGCCGAUGUCGGAUUAGCUAGUUGGCGGGGUAAAGGCCCACCAAGGCGACGAUCCGUAGCUGGUCUGAGAGGAUGAUCAGCCACACUGGAACUGAGACACGGUCCAGACUCCUACGGGAGGCAGCAGUGGGGAAUAUUGGACAAUGGGCGCAAGCCUGAUCCAGCCAUACCGCGUGGGUGAAGAAGGCCUUCGGGUUGUAAGGCCCUUUUGUUGGGAAAGAAAAGCAGCAGGUUAAUACCCCGCUGUUCUGACGGUACCCAAAGAAUAAGCACCGGCUAACUUCGUG
rnacentral:rRNA from 1 species